UCAAGUAAUUAAGUGCAUGUGGUGGAUGCCUUGGCAGUCAGAGGCGAUGAAAGACGUGAUAGCCUACGAAAAGCUCCGGGGAGGCGGCAAAUAUCCUUUGAUCCGGAGAUGUCUGAAUGGGGGAACCCACCUACUUUAAGGUAGGUAUUGCAACAUGAAUACAUAGUGUUGCAAGGCGAACGAGGGGAAGUGAAACAUCUCAGUACCCUUAGGAAAAGAAAUCAAUUGAGAUUCCCUCAGUAGCGGCGAGCGAACGGGGAUCAGCCCAUUAAGUUAUGUGUGUUUUAGUGGAACGCUCUGGGAAGUGCGAACGUAGAGGGUGAUAUUCCCGUACACGAAAGGGCACACAUAAUGAUGACGAGUAGGGCGAGGCACGUGAAACCUUGUCUGAAUAUGGGGGGACCAUCCUCCAAGGCUAAAUACUCCUGACUGACCGAUAGUGAACCAGUACCGUGAGGGAAAGGCGAAAAGAACCCCUGUGAGGGGAGUGAAAUAGAUCCUGAAACCGCAUGCAUACAAGCAGUGGGAGCACCUUCGUGGUGUGACUGCGUACCUUUUGUAUAAUGGGUCAGCGACUUAUAUUCAGUAGCGAGGUUAACCGUAUAGGGGAGCCGUAGAGAAAUCGAGUCUUAAUAGGGCGUUUAGUUGCUGGGUAUAGACCCGAAACCAGGCGAUCUAUCCAUGAGCAGGUUGAAGGUUGGGUAACACUAACUGGAGGACCGAACCCACUGUCGUUGAAAAGCCAGGGGAUGACUUGUGGAUAGGGGUGAAAGGCUAAUCAAGCCUGGUGAUAGCUGGUUCUCCCCGAAAGCUAUUUAGGUAGCGCCUCGGACGAAUACCAUAGGGGGUAGAGCACUGUUUCGGCUAGGGGGUCAUCCCGACUUACCAAACCGAUGCAAACUCCGAAUACCUAUGAGUACUAUCCGGGAGACAGACUGCGGGUGCUAACGUCCGUAGUCAAGAGGAAAACAAUCCAGACCGCCAGCUAAGGCCCCAAAAUCAUAGUUAAGUGGGAAACGAUGUGGGAAGGCAUAGACAGCUAGGAGGUUGGCUUAGAAGCAGCCACCCUUUAAAGAAAGCGUAAUAGCUCACUAGUCGAGUCGGCCUGCGCGGAAGAUGUAACGGGGCUAAAACUAUGUGCCGAAGCUGCGGAUGUAUACUUUGUAUACGUGGUAGGGGAGCGUUCUGUAAGCCGAUGAAGGUGUGUUGAGAAGCAUGCUGGAGGUAUCAGAAGUGCGAAUGCUGACGUGAGUAACGACAAAACGGGUGAAAAACCCGUUCGCCGAAAGACCAAGGGUUCCAGUCCAACGUUAAUCGGGGCUGGGUGAGUCGACCCCUAAGGCGAGGCCGAAAGGCGUAGUCGAUGGGAAAAUGGUUAAUAUUCCAUUACUUCUGUGUAAUGCGAUGAGAGGACGGAGAAGGCUAAAUCAGCCUGGCGUUGGUUGUCCAGGUGAAAGGAUGUAGGCAUGUAUCUUAGGCAAAUCCGGGGUACUCUAUGCUGAGAUCUGAUAGCAAGCUGUACUUGUAAAGCGAAGUGGUUGAUGCCAUGCUUCCAGGAAAAGUCUCUAAGCUUCAGUUACACAGGAAUCGUACCCGAAACCGACACAGGUGGUCAGGUCGAGUAGACCAAGGCGCUUGAGAGAACUCUGCUGAAGGAACUAGGCAAAAUGGUACCGUAACUUCGGGAGAAGGUACGCUGUUGUUGGUGAUGGAACUCGCUUCCUGAGCUGACGACAGCCGCAGAAACCAGGCCGCUGCAACUGUUUAUUAAAAACAUAGCACUCUGCAAACACGAAAGUGGACGUAUAGGGUGUGAUGCCUGCCCGGUGCUGGAAGGUUAAUUGAUGGGGUUAGCGUAAGCGAAGCUCUUGAUCGAAGCCCCAGUAAACGGCGGCCGUAACUAUAACGGUCCUAAGGUAGCGAAAUUCCUUGUCGGGUAAGUUCCGACCUGCACGAAUGGCAUAAUGAUGGCGGCGCUGUCUCCAGCAGAGGCUCAGUGAAAUCGAAAUCGCUGUGAAGAUGCAGUGUACCCGCGGCUAGACGGAAAGACCCCGUGAACCUUUACUGCAGCUUGACACUGAACUUUGACCUUACUUGUGUAGGAUAGGUGGGAGGCUUUGAAGCUGGAACGCUAGUUCCAGUGGAGCCGUCCUUGAAAUACCACCCUGGUAAUGUUGAGGUUCUAACUCUGUCCCGUGAUCCGGGACGAGGACCGUGUCUGGUGGGUAGUUUGACUGGGGCGGUCUCCUCCUAAAGAGUAACGGAGGAGUACGAAGGUGCGCUCAGCGUGGUCGGAAAUCACGCGUAGAGUAUAAAGGCAAAAGCGCGCUUAACUGCGAGACCCACAAGUCGAGCAGGUACGAAAGUAGGUCUUAGUGAUCCGGUGGUUCUGUAUGGAAGGGCCAUCGCUCAACGGAUAAAAGGUACUCUGGGGAUAACAGGCUGAUACCGCCCAAGAGUUCAUAUCGACGGCGGUGUUUGGCACCUCGAUGUCGGCUCAUCUCAUCCUGGGGCUGAAGCAGGUCCCAAGGGUAUGGCUGUUCGCCAUUUAAAGAGGUACGCGAGCUGGGUUUAGAACGUCGUGAGACAGUUCGGUCCCUAUCUACCGUGGGCGCUGGAAAUUUGAGAGGAUCUGCUCCUAGUACGAGAGGACCAGAGUGGACGAACCUCUGGUGUACCGGUUGUGACGCCAGUCGCAUCGCCGGGUAGCUAUGUUCGGAAGGGAUAACCGCUGAAAGCAUCUAAGCGGGAAGCCUACCUCAAGAUAAGAUUUCCCUAGGACUUUAUGUCCUCUAAAGAGCCGUUCGAGACUAGGACGUUGAUAGGUUGGAUGUGGAAGCAUAGUGAUAUGUGAAGCUGACCAAUACUAAUUGCUCGUGAGGCUUGACUAU
rnacentral:rRNA from 1 species